GCAACUACUAUAGUUUGUUGGAGAAGGACUACUUUGGAAUUCGCUAUGUGGACCCAGAGAAGCAAAGGCACUGGCUUGAGCCUAACAAGUCCAUCUUCAAGCAAAUGAAAUAGUGGCCAUACUAGUCUGCAAUUCCAUUAAGAGCAAAUAUGAAUUCUUUCUCUACAUCCUUACCAGCAUUUGUUGUUGCUUGUUCAGAAGAUGGGUAAGAUAAAAUUCCAGUUCUUUGUGUUUGCAUUUUCCUAAUUCCUAAGAAUGGCCAGAAUGUUUUGAUAUACUUCCUACCCAUUUUUUAUCUUCUUUCAAAGCUCUCUACUCAGAUCCAUAGCCUAUUUUUGAAUACUACUCAAAAAAUAGUAUUCACUCUGUUUAUUCAAUCCUUUAUAUAAUCUGGAUAUUAACCCUAUAUCCAAGGUACACAUGGCAAAAGUAUUCUAUUACUCUGUGGCUUCUACUUUACUAAAUUGAUUGUUUCCUUAGCUGUACAAAAGCUUUUUAGUAUUAUGACAUCUUACUUUUCAUUUGUUGACCCUAUUUCUUUCUGCUAAUGGAGGAAAUCUUAUUCUAAAGAUACUUUCCUAUACUUACAUCUUUCCUUCUAGCAGUUUUCUUCCACUAGUUUCAGUGGUUUUGCUUUCAUACUGGGGUGUUUAACAUAUUUAGAGUUUUUAUUAAAAUGACUCUGUAAUAUAUCUUAAGAUCUGGAGUGGAACUCUGUCCAGCAAUGGUUUUAUCCCCAGUGAACAUUGCUUUAGCUAUGUCAGGUCUUUUGUGAGUCCAUGUUAAUUUUAUGGUGUCUUUCAUUAUUCCCGUGAAGAAUGUUAUGAGGAUUUGCAUUGGUAUCCCAUAGAAUCUGUGAAUAACUUUUUAAUGAAUGGUCAUAUUUCUCGAUAUUAAUUCUACAAUCAGUGCAUAUGGGAGAUCUUUUCAUUUUUCUAGCAUCUUUCUCUAGCUCUCCUCAGUGAUUUAAAAGGUUUUCUUUGGGUUGUCCGAGGUGGAACCAGCAGGCAUAUGCGGGAACCAGGUGCAGAUGGCUGGAGGCAGCGAGUAUGGCACAGGCGCGGGGGCUGCUACGGGUGAACCAGGUGGUCCUGCCGUCAUGGCUGUCCUCCACAAAGGUCUCUUUACUCAUUGAGAGACUCUCUAACCCUAAGGACUUGAAGAAACGUCUCAGGACCCACAAUAAUGUGUUCGUGCUUUACUCAGGAUCUGAGGUGGCAGCUGAAAGUCAUCUCAAGCUACUGUCCACUGUGGCCCAAGCAGUGAAAGGACAAGGCACCAUCUGCUGGGUGGACUGUGGUGAUGUAGAGAGUAGAAAAUUGUGCAAGGAGAUGAAAGUUGACCUCAGUUCAAAGGACAAAAAGAUUGAAUUAUUCCAUUACCAGGAUGGUGCAUUUUACAUGCAAUAUGACCGAGCUCUGAUGCUGAAGUCUAUAGUGGCCUUUCUGAAGGACCCGAAAGGUCCCCCACUGUGGGAAGAAGUUCCUGGAGCCAAAGAUGUUGUACUCAUUGACAGUGUGAAGGACUUCAGACGGCUCCUGAAGAAAGAAGAGAAACCACUCUUCAUGAUGUUCUACACUCCCUGGUGCAGCAUGCGCAAGAGGAUCAUGCCACAUUUCCAGAAGGCUGCCACCCAAGUGUGAGGUCACAUUGUACUGGCUGGGAUGAACAUUCAAGAACAUCAAGGAGGAGUUUAAUGGAUGUGGCUACCCUACCAUCUGCUAUUUUGAGAAUGGACAGUUUCUGUUCCAGUAUGAGAGCUAUGGGUCUACAGCUGAGAGCAUCGUGGAGUGGUUGAAGAAUCCACAGCCACCACAGCCCCAAGUCCCCAAGACUGCCUGGGCAGAUGAGGGCGGCUCUGUUUAUCACCUGACCAAUGAAGACUUUGGCCCGUUUGUGAAGGAACACUCCUCUGUCCUCGUCAUUUUCCAUGCCCCAUGGUGUGGACACUGUAAGAAAAUGAAGCCGGAGUUUGAGAGUGCAGCUGAAGUCCUUCACACAGAUGCUGAGAGCUCUGGUGUCCUUGCAGCUGUUGAUGCCACUGUCAACAAGGCCCUGGCAGAAAGGAUUCACAUUUCAGCUGUAAGCGACGGGUCCGAAGCCUUUCGUACCCUAAAGUAUUUUAAGAAUGGCGAGCAACAAGUGGUGUCUGUGCUCAGAACAAAGAAGUUUAUUGAGUGGAUGCAGAACCCCAAGGCUCCCUGCCUCCAGAGCCCACAGGUGUCAGGGGGAAGAACAGCAGAUAAGUGUAUUACAUCUGGUGGGGAAUAACUUCUAGGAUACCCUGAAGAAGAAGAAACGUACCUUGGUUUUGUUCUAUGCCCCUUGAUACACACACUGUAAGAAGGUCAUCCCCAACUUCACCACAUCCCCAUCUUCUCCGCUGAAGCUGAUGCCUUCAAAGAUGAUCGCAAGAUUGCCUGUGCUGCUGUAGACUGUGUCAGGGACAAGAACCAAGACCUGUGUCAGCAGGAGUCAGUGAAGGCCUACCCCACCUUCCACUAUUACCACUACCGGAAGCUCAUAUGAGAGCUUCAUCCAAACCCUCCAGGAGGGAGACCUCAAGAGACUAGACAAAAGGAGGGGGGAGCUGUAAUGCCACCUCCUACAAAAGAGCCCUGCCUUUACACUGUGAAUGAGAACUAUUUUGUUCUUUGUGAAUUUCUAUGUGUGCUAAAGACAGAGUUUUUAAAGCCACAUACUGCCUUUUGUACAAUUUUGAAAUAAAAUUAACUGAUUUAUUAAAAAAGUUUUCUUUGUAGAGUUCUUUCACUUCUCUCGAGAUUACUUCUCUCACUGUCAGUAUUCCUUGGGUUGAGGCCUCAUGGGCUUUCCCUUUUCCAAAUUUGCAUAUCUAUUUUUAUUGUUAUUGCUCAGCUGAUGUGUAGGUGUUGUUGGGAUAUUAUGGGUACAGUUUAUGAUAUUAUUAAGAACACAGUCUCAUGGCAAACCUCCUGAUCCUACUGCACUUAUAAUCUUUCCACCCAAUGUUCCCCUUGUCCUUGGGUGCAGUUGGAGACACAUCCAUUAGGACUGGGCUCCACAAUUUGGCAUGUUGAUCAACUGACUCGAUUUGUUUCAAAGAGAGGUUUCAUUAAUAAUAGAUGGGUCUAAGUUGCAUGUAAUUUUUAAAAAAGCUUCCUAGUUCCUCUGCUCGGGGCCAUGCUCUAGGCUUAGCUCUGAGAUCUCACUCCCACCAGUCUCACUCGGCUCCACCAGCCUAAACUCCCUACCUAAGUCCACCAAGGGCCUGCUGGGCAUCUUAUUCCCCCAACCCCAGCUGCGAUCACUUUCCACCCCACCCUUCACACCAGCCGGUGCCUUUCCUGAGAACAAAGGGAUCUGCUGUUCGCACUCCACUGGCUGCCCACUUUCUCCUCUUGCCCACCUAGUGCCACAGAUGGAAAACACUAUACAAUCUCAAUAUUGUAAAACUAAGCAGAUAACGCAAUGGCUGGGCAAAGAAUUUCUUGCCCUAAUCUUGGCAACUAGCUCUUUCCAUUCUCCUUGGCCUCCACCCAUGGCAGAAGCUACAAACUAUAGGGGCCCUGAGACCUA